GAUGAACGCUGGCGGCGUGCUUAACACAUGCAAGUCGAACGAAGCACUUUAUUUGAUUUCCUUCGGGACUGAUUAUUUUGUGACUGAGUGGCGGACGGGUGAGUAACGCGUGGGUAACCUGCCUUGUACAGGGGGAUAACAGUUGGAAACGGCUGCUAAUACCGCAUAAGCGCACAGCAUCGCAUGAUGCAGUGUGAAAAACUCCGGUGGCAUAAGAUGGACCCGCGUUGGAUUAGCUAGUUGGUGAGGUAACGGCCAACCAAGGCGACGAACCAUAGCCGACCUGAGAGGGGGACAGGCCACAUUGGGAAUGAGACACGGCCCAAACUCCUACGCGAGGGAGGAGUGGAGAAUAUUGCACAAUGGGCGAAAGCCUGAUGAAGCGACGCGGGGUGAGCGAAGAAGUAGUUCGGUAUGUAAAGCUCUAUCAGCAGGGAAGAUAAUGACGGUACCUGACAAAGAAGCACCGGCUAAAUACGUG
rnacentral:rRNA from 1 species